AACCGUUGGUGACUCCUCAGAUGAACCAAAGUAGCACUGGCAUUGUCACAAUGGAUAGUGGUUGGUGAAGGAAUAAAGAUAGUGUGCAGGUCAUGAGGGUUGCUUGGCAUGCGGGUUUUACAGCUCAACUUCAACAAAACGGUUCAUCCAAUGCUGGUGAAGUUAGAAUUUCUUCUGGUUGUUGCAUUUUGUAACUACUUGAAAGGAAUCGCAUCUGAUCGGGAUGCAAAUAUACAGUUAAGAGCUUGAAAUGGGCCAGUCAGUACAUAUGGGCACUAUCCUUGCUGGUGAUUUUAUGGUGGCAUUUUGGCUCACCAAAUUGACUACUACUGAUUGUUGCGGGUGCUCAUCGGGACAGAACCAGAAAGUACCAACACCGGAAGAUUAAAAUAUCAAACCGAGAGAACCAAACCUAUCUAAACGAGUUUCGUUUAAGACUGUAACGAUUUGCGUUUUGGAUUCCUAAUUCUUACAAGGAGUGUAAUAGUUUUUUAGCGUUCUAAGGGAAAUGACCACCAUACCUACCUAAUAUAUAUAUAAAUUUUUUUGUUUUGUUACUUAUCUUUACUUUGCUUUCAUAAUUAAAUUGGUGUCGAAUUUUGGGUGCAGGCCAUGGAUACCAAAGACAAGGAGAGCAAAUAAUUAAUUGGACAUAGAGUUUUUGUUAUUGCUGAGAGGCAUGAGUGGAGCUGGUGGUUUGAGUGCGAAAAUCUGGUGGCAGAUGAGUUGUUAGUGGUUGUGGGCGGUGGUGAUUGUUAGCCAUACCAUUGUGGUGAUUAAGGAAUAGAGGGAUGGUUUUCAACAACCGGUGAGCCAUUUGUAGUAAAGGAGGAUGAUUUCCAGUUUCAUUCCAAGAGGAUGAAUGCGAUAGUGGAGUUAAAGAAG
rnacentral:lncRNA from 1 species